rnacentral:lncRNA from 1 species
UUGGGUUUAGCAAAUGGAAGUUGGCCAUUGAGAGCUGGAUUGUUAACUGCCCCCGUAACGGCUCGAGCCGAGGGAUUUGUACCUCCAAGGAUAUCGUGCAUGAAGAAGGUUAAUACAUGAUGAUCAUCUUCAACUCCCCCUGAACUAGGUAGAGUUGAUGAAGGUGUAGUAGCUCCUUGCCCCAGGUUGUUUCCAGCUGAAUUAGGUAGAGUUGUUGAAGGUGUAUUAGUAGCAGUAGGUCCUGUCCCGAAAUUACCGAAAGGCGUCCCAACGACACUCGAGGCUGCUGCCGGAGUACCAACCGGGACUUGUGGCUGCUCGUCGAGAAGUCUGGCUGAGUUGGCAGAUAAACA